rnacentral:rRNA from 1 species
GACGUAGGGCGCAAGCGUUGUCCGGAUUUAUUGGGCGUAAAGAGCUCGUAGGCGGCUUGUCGCGUCGACUGUGAAAACCCGCGGCUUAACUGUGGGACUGCAGCCGAUACGGGCUAGCUAGAGUUCGGUAGGGGAGACUGGAAUUCCUGGUGUAGCGGUGAAAUGCGCAGAUAUCAGGAGGAACACCGGUGGCGAAGGCGGGUCUCUGGGCAGUAACUGACGCUGAGGAGCGAAAGCGUGGGGAGCGAACAGG